UAAAACCGCGAAACACGUAACCCGCGUUCUCGCUAUAGGAAAAGUAUCCCCCGUGAAGCUCCUCUCUUUCGGGCCACCCUAUUCCCCGCUUUUAAUUGCGAAUGCAUGUGCGGCGAAAUUUCGUGGAUUCAGAGCGAAAAUUCGUGGACGCGUCGCGUACGUUUUCCCGUACCCUUCCUCGAUCAUGCUCCUUCCCAUUAGCUCGUGUCUGAUACCGACAUCCGACGCGAGCGGAAUCACGGCUGGUAUCAACAGCACCAUCGCUGUCAUCGUCGUCUGUGCCACGCACAUCGUGACAUCGUGACAUCAAUCCGGCGAAUCGAUUGAAUCGAACCGGCGAUCGGGAGAAGCCGUGACCUUGAAGGUUCACGUUGCAAGCGGGACAUGCCAGAUUAGAGGGGAGGGGGGCAAUUAACACGCGUUAUUCGACGAUGAUGCGUUAAUGGAGAACGAUCGCGGUACCCGCGUUACUUUCCCCGGAAGAAAGAACACAUGAUCGCUUUGCGAUGCACGUAGGAUGUACAAUGGUAUUCGAAAGACAGGUAAAUUUAUUCGAAUGAAAAUACUGCUGGAGAUAAAAGAAAUCUGAACUUUUGACAUCUUUCAAUUAUGCCAUUUCGUGUGUUCUGUACUAACUUUAAUAUCGCAGGUGAAAGAGAUAUAUUGUGCCAAAUGUCAGAUAGAUAUCCAAAAGUGUUGAGACAAAGUUCAAUCGGUCCUUAUAAGAUAUAAUUUAAUCACAGAUUGAUAAAAUCUUGAAGAUCGAUUGAACAUCAGAUUGUCUUAUCGGAGUGUAUUUCAAGUGUGAUUAAUUCGAAUAAAUAUGUAAAAAAAAUAUGACGGUAAUCUUAGAAUUACAAUGAUUUUCCGAGGUGUCUCAAUGAGAAAACAAAAUGAGAGAACAGACGAGAAGGAGGAAUCUCGUGAACGUGAAUACGACGCCAAUAUUCUGAUGUUCAGCCGCCUCGAAAACGUCGCGAGAAUCAUCAUCUUGGACGAUCGUACGUCGGGGUGAUUACGGUCGUCAGGGACCGUGGUCAUAGUAACACGGCUACGUACAGCGAAACAUGAAUGUCAGCGAGAUCUACUUCUUGAGCAGCUUGGAAGACGAGGCACACACAUUAAACGACGAUCUAAUCGGCAAGAGUUUCUACAACACGAGCUAUUCACCGCUUUUUAAUCAAACCUACGAUCUUUGGGGACUCGCCUCGGAUCGAAUUGGUCUCGCGAUAGUUUUGUUGCUCUUCUCCGUAGCUACCGUCUUCGGCAACUCGUUAGUGAUCCUCGCGGUAUUUCGCGAGAGGCAUCUGCAUACAGCGACGAACUAUUUCGUGACCUCAUUGGCUUGUGCCGAUUGUCUGGUAGGCCUGGUGGUGAUGCCGAUCAGCGCGGUAUACGAGGUAUUAGAGAACCGUUGGCUCUUCACGACGGACUGGUGCGACGUUUGGCGUUCGCUGGAUGUCCUCUUCUCCACAGCAUCCAUUUUGAAUCUGUGCGUCAUUAGCCUGGACCGCUACUGGGCGAUCACCGAUCCCUUCACGUAUCCGAUGCGUAUGAGCAGGAAACGCGCGGCGAUCCUGAUCGCCAUCGUGUGGAUCUGUUCGAGCGCGAUCUCCUUCCCCGCGAUAGCAUGGUGGCGUGCGGUACGCACCGAGCAAGUACCUGAAGACAAGUGUCCGUUCACGGAGAAUCUCGGCUACCUGAUAUUUUCGUCGACAAUUAGCUUCUACCUGCCGCUAUUUGUGAUGGUGUUCACAUAUUACAGGAUCUAUCGCGCCGCCGUGAUACAAACGAGGAGUCUAAAGCUCGGCACGAAGCAAGUGAUGAUGGCCUCCGGCGAGCUCGAGCUUACGCUCAGGAUGCACCGGGGUGGCGUGUCUACAAACACCGACGCCAGACACCUCUUUCGCACCGCCUCGAGUACGCCCGAGGAUCUUCAGGAUCUCGAGGAACCGUUAACGGUACUCCACAACAACGGUCUCACUAGAGUGCCAUCAGUUCGGAUCAACAACAAGCAGCAUCUGGGCAAAAAUUUCUCUUUGUCGCGGAAGCUUGCCAAGUUCGCCAAAGAGAAGAAGGCGGCGAAGACUCUUGGUAUCGUUAUGGGUGUCUUUAUUAUUUGUUGGCUGCCGUUCUUCGUCGUGAAUCUAUGGUCAGGAUUCUGCUCGAGGUGCAUAUGGCAGGAGGAAAUCGUGUCCGCUGCUGUCACCUGGCUCGGCUGGAUUAACAGUGGAAUGAAUCCUGUAAUAUACGCUUGUUGGAGUAGAGACUUUCGUAGAGCUUUUGUCAGAAUUCUAUGCUACUGUUGUCCCAGACGAAUGAAACGGCGAUAUCAACCGGCAUUCAGAUGUAAACCAAGUCAGAAAUUCGCAUCCGGACGGUACUACUCCGCGUAUUCGAUCCAUCACAUACGAAGAAGUCGAGAAAAUUCCGGCGAGCAAACCUACAUUUAACAACGGAAUAUCAUCGCGAGCUGGCCGUCGAUCGUUGAUCGUAGAAAUCCUCGAGACCUUUUCUCAAUCUUUUAUUUCCGUCAUUAUUUUCUUCGUCCUUUUUUAAUGCAAUAAAUAAAGCAGUUUAUACAGUAAUUUUAGCAAUUAAUUUCCAAGAGUAAGUCCCGUAUCUAUUUUCCAAGACCCUUACGUAUCAGAGAUCGACGAACAUCUCAACGAAUAUCGACGCAUUCCCGUAGAAUAUUAAUUCUCGUAUAUUUCCGGAAUGGCAACGGGAGGGCAAGCGAGUAAUGUAAGCUACAGUAGUGUCAGCCAAAGUAGCGAUGGCGGCAUAUGCGCAACCGGAAGUGGACCUUCCAGCGGCGGUAUGUGACGUCACACGUCGGCCCGGCCGGGGCCACGUCGAGAGCGUGCAAUUCGAUUUCGUGACGCGUGAUUAGUGACACGAUCAAGAUUGAGAAGAAUCGACCUCCAAGAAACUAAAAGAAUUUUUCUGCGCAAUUUAAUUUUAUUGCGCUUGAAAAAUGUCACGAGAACGUGCUUUGAGAAAGUGCUUUGGACGGUACAAUUUAUUGCUGCGAGACGCCUCUGCGAAAUGAAAAAUAGAAACGUGUUGUGGGUGGAUGGGUUAGAAACCGCUUGACGAGUGAACAUAGACCGCAAAAUAUCUGAAGCUGCGAAACACGUACUUAACACGUACUGGACCUUCGCAAUGGCUUUCAAAUUGCCACGAUUUAACUUAAAACGAGUCGUUGGACUCUCGUUUCUGUAAUCGUAUUAACGAGCGAGCAAAUGUACUCUGUCGCGAAUGUACUCUAUCAUCGUGCUCUUGAGGAGAAGUUUGUAAAAACCAGCGUGGUCAGCUUCGAGCGUAAUGCGCCAUAAGAGACUAAAUUUAGUAGAUGCUGUAUUCAUGUUACAGAAAGAGAUCUCUCUUAUAAAAAAAAAGUAUCUUUGUGGAUUUUCAACACACGCGAUCUCUCGCACUCUUAUCUAAGGCGCUGGUUGUAUCAAUUUCCGAUCAAUGCUACCUCUGAUUAGUCAAACUUUCUGAAACUAUUUGCAUAUUGUUAAUAGAAUGUGACAGUCAAUAUGAAAAAUUAUACAAUUGCUAGUCCAAGAUUAAAUACCUAAUAUUGUCGAAAACUAAAAAUAAGAUAUUGUAUGAGACCAAACUAGAUAUCUGACAAUUAGAUAAGCUCGCAACUAUUCUCGACGGAACCUAUUCGAUGGCAAGAGAAAAAAAGAGUAUACGCAUAUGCAUGCGAGUAGAUGUAAAUAACAAAUAAAAGCAAUAUUUACAACUAAAACAAAUCUUAAACGAGAAAAGAAAUGUGAAUUUGGCAAUAUAUAUUUCACAUCCUUUGAAUAUAACGUAUGAAGAUAGUUUUGUAAAAAAAGAACUAGUCACAUGUAUAUUGAAUAGCCUUAAAGAUAGAAAAAGAGUUA